AACAACAAAUCACGCUCACGCUCACGCUCACGCUCACGCUCCUCUCUCUGUUUGUCUGUGUGGCUUCAGUUUCUCUCAGCUAUAAAACCAAGCCUCUCCGUCCGUACCUUCCAAUUUCUGAUCCUCCAGUUCCUCUUCUUAUUCUUCUUCUUCGAUCCAAAGUCCAAAACCCUAGCUAGUCUGAGAGAGAGAGAGAGAGAGAGAGAGAGAUCCGAAUCGUUGAGUCUCCAGCAUGGAACGCAUCGUCGGCGGCAAGUACAAGCUCGGCCGCAAGAUCGGAAGCGGAUCGUUCGGCGAAAUCUUCCUCGCCACGCAUAGCGAUACGUUUGAGAUCGUCGCCGUUAAGAUUGAGAAUAGUAAAACAAAGCAUCCACAGCUGCUUUACGAGGCCAAGUUAUACAAUAUUCUUCAAGGAGGAAGUGGUAUUCCUAGCAUAAGAUGGUCGGGCAUAGACGGGGAGGACAAUGUGCUCGUGCUUGAUUUGUUGGGACCGAGUCUCGAGGACCUGUUGGUGUAUUGUGGGAGGAAAUUCUUGUUGAAGACGGUCUUGAUGUUGGCUGAUCAAAUGAUCACAAGAAUAGAGUACGUGCACUCCAAAGGAUUUUUGCAUAGAGACAUAAAACCCGAUAACUUCCUCAUGGGUCUUGGUCGGAAAGCAAAUCAGGUAUACAUAAUUGAUUUUGGGCUUGCAAAAAGAUAUCGGGAUGCAACAACCAAUCGCCAUAUCCCUUACAAGGAGAAUAAAAACUUGACAGGGACUGCACGUUAUGCAAGUUGCAAUACUCAUCUUGGAAUUGAGCAAAGCCGGCGGGAUGAUUUGGAAUCACUUGGAUAUGUGCUGUUAUAUUUUUUGAGAGGAAGCCUUCCAUGGCAGGGUUUGAAGGCUGCCACAAAGAAGCAAAAGUAUGACAAAAUAAUGGAGAAGAAGUUAUCAACUCCUAUUGAGGUUCUAUGCAAAUCUCAUCCAGUGGAGUUUGCUUCAUAUUUUCAUUACUGCCACUCCUUGACGUUUGAUCAGCGACCUGAUUAUGGAUUCUUAAAGCGUCUAUUCCGUGACUUAUUUGCUCGUGAAGGGUAUGAAUUCGAUUACGUAUUUGAUUGGACGAUCAUAAAAUACCAGCAAUCACAAAAGAGUAGAACCCAGACUCGUGUAUCUCCAGUUCCUGGAGGGAGCAGCAGUCGUGCAAUUCCGAUGGAUAUGGACAAUCAUCAAGGAGGUGUCAAUGCUCCUUUUUCAGCUGAAGUAACAGAGCGCAUCAGAUCAGGAAAUGCUACUGGUCCUGCUGUGCGGAUGCAUUUUAAAUCACCAAUUUCCAAGAAUUUAAGUUCUGAGAAUCCUAUUGACAAGAAUAUGCUGAGCGAAGCACACAUGGCCUCUACUUCAAACUCUGGUCCCUCCAAAAGAAAUGCCUCUAAGGCUGUCUUGCCCACCGAAGCUACAAAUCCUGGUAAUGGACAUGGCAACAGAAUGGGUCCUUCAAGUAGCUGGAUUUCGUCACUACCACGCAUCUCUUCUGCAAAAUGAUGUGCUGUGGAUCUGCUCAAGAAGAUUCCAGUGAUACUGUCUUUGAAGCUGCAAAAGUGUGGUGAUUUGAUGUUGUGUUUUCCGCUAUGUGUCUGAUCAAGAAUAUUUCCUUGAUGCAUCUAUGGGGGCUGAAACAUGUGCCACUGAUAUGAUAUGCUGCAUUAGUUCCUCUAUUGAUGCCAGCUUGCGUUAUUUUUUCUUAAGGUUAAUGGGUUCUCCAUUAUAACAGUGAUUUCUCGAAGUGAUCAGGUCAAUGAUCGUGGGUUUCUGAAACUUUAUUUUGAGGGGGAAAAUAUGGCUCAGUGAUCUGAAGAAUUGUGACAUUUAAAACAUAUUGAAGGAUUUUUCUUCCGCUACAAGGAAUAUGGCAGGGGAAUGCCAUUUGUAGAUGGUAUAUGAAGACCAUAAAACACACUCUGCAUGCUACUACUUGUUAGGAAAGAGGCCGCCUAAGUGUUUACUGGGGAAGAAGGCAUAAAAGAAAGGUUGACAUUAUUUAAAUUCUUGUAUGCUGGUUCUAGGAAUUUGGAGAUAGCAUAAUAAGUGCGCCUUUGAUUUCGACAAAAUUUUUGAAAUUGGCAGUUUCUCGGCAGGAAGUGGCCUCCCUCCAAAAGGGGUGGGUUAGAUUAUUCUUUUCUCUUACUGGGAGUAGUGGUUAAUGCACCACAAUUAUAACUUGGAUGUGGUGAAAUCUGCAGAGCCCUUUAUGCUUGACGUUUGGGAAGCUAAUAAAAUCUGCUAUAUUGUAAGAAUCCUAUCUUGUUUUACUGCUGUGGCAUUACUGUCUGAGAAGGUUUCUCAAUGCCAACUGCCAGGUAUGUUACUUUUGAAAGCUGAUUAGUAUGGGAAUUGUUGGGUUCCUUCUGCUUGCAAGGAAAGCAAUCAAACACUUGAUAUGAGACUUGAAAUCCAGGCUGCUUUUUCUUUUUUGACGUGAAUGUUGGACUGGUCUAGUCGUUUCAGAACACAAUUUGGUGGCAUCAACAUUCUAAUUCCACCUUCUGCCAACCCUUAUGAGCCUGGUGUUGCCACUGGACAUUUGGAUAGAAAUAUGCGAGGUUUUAUUCAAUUUAUCUACUUCAACACCAUGGCUCUUUAUGCGUCUUAAUGCUGAUGCUCCUGUGGGAAUGUGUGUAUUUCACGCCUCCUGUCAAUGGUAGCUCUCCCAAGUAAAAGAAAGGAAGAUAUGGUAUAGGAAAUGGGUAGUUUGCAAAGGCAGUCAAGUUUCAGGCAUUGUGGCAAUCUGGUUCUGAGCUGCUUGUAACAGAAAGAAGGAAUUCCGACGUGAAAAUUUUGUUUAGAAAGUUGAACCGUGUAGUUGUUCUAGUGAUUUGCAGUCGUGAUCUGGUGCUGGAUUUGGUACAUUGUUAAUAUUGUUUGCAGAAAUUUGGUUUUGAGUGUGCUAAAUUUGAUCUUGAGAGCUUUGCUUUUUUUUUUUCUGGUGGUUUAAAGAUUACAGUGGUGUAUCGCAUAGUUUUUGGGUCAUAUAAUUUACUUACAUUCCACCCUUUGUAGGUCAGAAAAAGGGGUCGAGAUUUCCUACAACCUGCACGCAAUUUGGUGGCCCGGUACACAAAAUUGGAAAUCUACGAGUGGUUGUGGUGGUUCUGAAAUUUCCUAGACAUUAGCAUGUGCCAUUUCAAUUCAUAUUACCUCAGUCCCACUACAUUCACAUGUCAUAUUCAAGGAUAAUCCCUAGCUUUUGGUUCUCGUUUUACUUUGUAAGAAUACGCGUUGAGAUAGAAAAGCUACUGAAAUUGGUAGUCUUUUUUGGUCA